rnacentral:rRNA from 1 species
UGGGGAAUUUUGGACAAUGGGCGAAAGCCUGAUCCAGCAAUGCCGCGUGUGUGAAGAAGGCCUUCGGGUUGUAAAGCACUUUUGUCCGGAAAGAAAUGGCUCUGGUUAAUACCUGGGGUCGAUGACGGUACCGGAAGAAUAAGGACCGGCUAACUACGUGCCAGCAGCCGCGGUAAUACGUAGGGUCCAAGCGUUAAUCGGAAUUACUGGGCGUAAAGCGUGCGCAGGCGGUUGUGCAAGACCGAUGUGAAAUCCCCGAGCUUAACUUGGGAAUUGCAUUGGUGACUUCACGGCUAGAGUGUGUCGGAGGGGGGUAGAAUUCCACGUGUAGCAGUGAAAUGCGUAGAGAUGUGGAGGAAUACCGAUGGCGAAGGCAGCCCCCUGGGAUAACACUGACGCUCAUGCACGAAAGCGUGGGGAGCAAACAGG